rnacentral:rRNA from 1 species
GUGACUGCGUACCUUUUGUAUAAUGGGUCAGCGACUUAUAUUCUGUAGCAAGGUUAACCGAAUAGGGGAGCCGGAGGGAAACCGAGUCUUAAUUGGGCGUUAAGUUGCAGGGUAUAGACCCGAAACCCGGUGAUCUAGCCAUGGGCAGGUUGAAGGUUGGGUAACACUAACUGGAGGACCGAACCGACUAAUGUUGAAAAAUUAGCGGAUGACCUGUGGCUGGGGGUGAAAGGCCAAUCAAACCGGGAGAUAGCUGGUUCUCCCCGAAAGCUAUUUAGGUAGCGCCUCGUGAAUUCAUCUCCGGGGGUAGAGCACUGUUUCGGCUAGGGGGCCAUCCCGGCUUACCAACCCGAUGCAAACUGCGAAUACCGGAGAAUGUUAUCACGGGAGACACACGGCGGGUGCUAACGUCCGUCGUGAAGAGGGAAACAACCCAGACCGCCAGCUAAGGUCCCAAAGUCAUGGUUAAGUGGGAAACGAUGUGGGAAGGCCCAGACAGCCAGGAUGUUGGCUUAGAAGCAGCCAUCAUUUAAAGAAAGCGUAAUAGCUCACUGGUCGAGUCGGCCUGCGCGGAAGAUGUAACGGGGCUAAACCAUGCACCGAAGCUGCGGCAGCGACGUUUAUGCGUUGUUGGGUAGGGGAGCGUUCUGUAAGCCUGCGAAGGUGGCCUGUGAGGGUUGCUGGAGGUAUCAGAAGUGCGAAUGCUGACAUAAGUAACGAUAAAGCGGGUGAAAAGCCCGCUCGCCGGAAGACCAAGGGUUCCUGUCCAACGUUAAUCGGGGCAGGGUGAGUCGACCCCUAAGGCGAGGCCGAAAGGCGUAGUCGAUGGGAAACGGGUUAAUAUUCCCGUACUUGGUGUUACUGCGAAGGGGGGACGGAGAAGGCUAUGUUGGCCGGGCGACGGUUGUCCCGGUUUAAGCGUGUAGGUGUGUGUUCCAGGUAAAUCCGGUUCACUUUAACACUGAGGCGUGAUGACGAGGCACUACGGUGCUGAAGCAACAAAUGCCCUGCUUCCAGGAAAAGCCUCUAAGCAUCAGGUAACAUCAAAUCGUACCCCAAACCGACACAGGUGGUCAGGUAGAGAAUACCAAGGCGCUUGAGAGAACUCGGGUGAAGGAACUAGGCAAAAUGGUGCCGUAACUUCGGGAGAAGGCACGCUGACACGUAGGUGAAGUGAUUUACUCAUGGAGCUGAAGUCAGUCGAAGAUACCAGCUGGCUGCAACUGUUUAUUAAAAACACAGCACUGUGCAAACACGAAAGUGGACGUAUACGGUGUGACGCCUGCCCGGUGCCGGAAGGUUAAUUGAUGGGGUCAGCGCAAGCGAAGCUCCUGAUCGAAGCCCCGGUAAACGGCGGCCGUAACUAUAACGGUCCUAAGGUAGCGAAAUUCCUUGUCGGGUAAGUUCCGACCUGCACGAAUGGCGUAAUGAUGGCCAGGCUGUCUCCACCCGAGACUCAGUGAAAUUGAACUCGCUGUGAAGAUGCAGUGUACCCGCGGCAAGACGGAAAGACCCCGUGAACCUUUACUAUAGCUUGACACUGAACAUUGAGCCUUGAUGUGUAGGAUAGGUGGGAGGCUUUGAAGUGUGGACGCCAGUCUGCAUGGAGCCGACCUUGAAAUACCACCCUUUAAUGUUUGAUGUUCUAACGUGGACCCGUUACCCGGGUUGCGGACAGUGUCUGGUGGGUAGUUUGACUGGGGCGGUCUCCUCCUAAAGAGUAACGGAGGAGCACGAAGGUUGGCUAAUCCUGGUCGGACAUCAGGAGGUUAGUGCAAUGGCAUAAGCCAGCUUGACUGCGAGCGUGACGGCGCGAGCAGGUGCGAAAGCAGGUCAUAGUGAUCCGGUGGUUCUGAAUGGAAGGGCCAUCGCUCAACGGAUAAAAGGUACUCCGGGGAUAACAGGCUGAUACCGCCCAAGAGUUCAUAUCGACGGCGGUGUUUGGCACCUCGAUGUCGGCUCAUCACAUCCUGGGGCUGAAGUAGGUCCCAAGGGUAUGGCUGUUCGCCAUUUAAAGUGGUACGCGAGCUGGGUUUAGAACGUCGUGAGACAGUUCGGUCCCUAUCUGCCGUGGGCGCUGGAGAACUGAGGGGGGCUGCUCCUAGUACGAGAGGACCGGAGUGGACGCAUCACUGGUGUUCGGGUUGUCAUGCCAAUGGCACUGCCCGGUAGCUAAAUGCGGAAGAGAUAAGUGCUGAAAGCAUCUAAGCACGAAACUUGCCCCGAGAUGAGUUCUCCCUGAGACUU